rnacentral:rRNA from 1 species
GAUGAACGCUGGCGGCAUGCCUAAUACAUGCAAGUCGAACGAGUGGCGGACGGGUGAGUAAUGUCUGGGAAACUGCCCGCUGGAGGGGGAUAACUACUGGAAACGGUAGCUAAUACCGCAUACCAUCGGAUGAGCCCAACUGGGAUUAGCUAGUAGGUGGGGUAACGGCUCACCUAGGCGACGAUCCCUAGCUGGUCUGAGAGGAGGCCCAGCCACACUGGAACUGAGACACGGUCCAGACUCCUGCGGGAGGCAGAGGUGGGGAAUAUUGCACAAUGGGCGAAAGCCUGAUGCAGCCAUGCCGCGUGGAGGAAGAAGGCCUUCGGGUUGUAAAGUACUUUCAGCGAGGAGGCGUUACUCGCAGAAGAAGCACCGGCUAACUCCGUGCCAGCAGCCGCGGUAAUAC